rnacentral:rRNA from 1 species
UACGUAGGGUGCGAGCGUUGUCCGGAAUUACUGGGCGUAAAGGGCGCGCAGGCGGCGGACCAAGUCAGGCGUGAAAGCCCCGGGCUCAACCUGGGAGGUGCGUCUGGGACUGGUUUGCUGGAGUUCGGGAGAGGAGCGUGGAAUUCCCAGUGUAGAGGUGAAAUUCGUAGAUAUUGGGAAGAACACCGGUGGCGAAGGCGGCGCUCUGGACCGAGACUGACGCUGAGGCGCGAAAGCGUGGGGAGCAAACAGG